AUUGAACGCUGGCGGCAGGCCUAACACAUGCAAGUCGAGCGUGAAAGGGCUUCGGCCUGAGUAAAGCGGCGGACGGGUGAGUAACGCGUAGGAAUCUACCUGGUAGUGGGGGAUAACGUUCCGAAAGGGACGCUAAUACCGCAUACGUUCCGAGGAAGAAAGCAGGGGACCUUCGGGCCUUGUGCUAUCAGAUGAGCCUGCGCCCGAUUAGCUAGUUGGUGGGGUAAAGGCCUACCAAGGCGACGAUCGGUAACUGGUCUGAGGGGAUGAUCAGUCACACUGGAAAUGGGACACGGUCCAGACUCCUACGGGAGGCGGCAGUGGGGAAUAUUGGACAAUGGGCGCAAGCCUGAUCCAGCCAUGCCGCGUGUGUGAAGAAGGCCUUCGGGUUGUAAGGCACUUUAGGCGGGGAGGAAGGCCUGAUGGCUAAUAUCCAUCAGGAUUGACGUUACCCGCAGAAUAAGCACCGGCAAACUUCGUGCCAGCCGCCGCCGUAAAAC
rnacentral:rRNA from 1 species